rnacentral:tRNA from 1 species
GCACUCGUAGCUCAGUUGGAUAGAGUACUGCCCUCCGAAGGCAGGGGUCACAGGUUCGAUUCCUGUCGAGUGCGCCA